CCUACGGGGGGCUGCAGUCGAGAAUCAUUCACAAUGGGGGAAACCCUGAUGGUGCGACGCCGCGUGGGGGAAUGAAGGUCUUCGGAUUGUAAACCCCUGUCAUGUGGGAGCAAAUUAAAAAGAUAGUACCACAAGAGGAAGAGACGGCUAACUCUGUGCCAGCAGCCGCGGUCAUACAGAGGUCUCAAGCGUUGUUCGGAAUCACUGGGCGUAAAGCGUGCGUAGGCUGUUUCGUAAGUCGUGUGUGAAAGGCGCGGGCUCAACCCGCGGACGGCACAUGAUACUGGGAGACUAGAGUAAUGGAGGGGGAACCGGAAUUCUCGGUGUAGGAGUGAAAUGCGUAGAUAUCGAGAGGAACACUCGUGGCGAAGGCGGGUUCCUGGACAUUAACUGACGCUGAGGCACGAAGGCCAGGGGAGCGAAAGGGAUUAGAUACCCUGGUAGUC
rnacentral:rRNA from 1 species